rnacentral:rRNA from 1 species
UACGGGGGGGGCAAGCGUUGUUCGGAAUUACUGGGCGUAAAGGGCUCGUAGGUGGCCAACUAAGUCAGACGUGAAAUCCCCAGGCUCAACUUGGGAACUGCGUCUGAUACUGGACGGCUCGAGACCGGAAGAGGUUGGUGGAAUUGCGAGUGUAGAGGUGAAAUUCGUAGAUAUUCGCAAGAACACCGGUGGCGAAGGCGGCCAACUGGUCCGGAUCUGACGCUGAGGCGCGAAAGCGUGGGGAGCAAACAGG